UGCUCAGCAAUUCCUAUCCCUAACUCCUCGUGGUACAUGCCGGGGUAUGAAUAACCUUAGGAAAGAUCGGGUAACCAAUUCCGGUGGAAUCGG
rnacentral:ribozyme from 1 species